rnacentral:rRNA from 1 species
GACGAACGCUGGCGGCGUGCUUAACACAUGCAAGUCGAACGGGAUAAUUUGAGAGCUUGCUCUUAGAGAAUCUAGUGGCAAACGGGUGAGUAACACGUAGACAACCUGCCGACAGGAUGGGGACAACAUUCCGAAAGGAAUGCUAAUACCGAAUGAAGCGGAGGAGAGGCAUCUCUCCUCCGUGAAAGAUGGCCUCUGAAUAUGCUAUCACCUGUCGAUGGGUCUGCGUCUGAUUAGCUAGUUGGUGAGGUAACGGCUCACCAAGGCGACGAUCAGUAGCCGGUCUGAGAGGAUGAACGGCCACAUUGGGACUGAGACACGGCCCAGACUCCUACGGGAGGCAGCAGUGGGGAAUCUUCCGCAAUGGGCGCAAGCCUGACGGAGCUACGCCGCGUGAGUGAAGAAGGUCUUCGGAUCGUAAAGCUCUGUUGACGGGGACGAACGUGCGAAGGGUGAAUAAUCCUUUGUAAUGACGGUACCUGUCGAGGAAGCCACGGCUAACUACGUG